rnacentral:rRNA from 1 species
CUUGCUCUCGGGUGASGAGCGGCGGACGGGUGAGUAAUGUCUGGGAAACUGCCUGAUGGRGGGGGAUAACUACUGGAAACGGUAGCUAAUACCGCAUAAYGUCGCAAGACCAAAGUGGGGGACCUUCGGGCCUCAUGCCAUCAGAUGUGCCCAGAUGGGAUUAGCUAGUAGGUGGGGUAAYGGCUCACCUAGGCGACGAUCCCUAGCUGGUCUGAGAGGAUGACCAGCCACACUGGAACUGAGACACGGUCCAGACUCCUACGGGAGGCAGCAGUGGGGAAUAUUGCACAAUGGGCGCAAGCCUGAUGCAGCCAUGCCGCGUGUGUGAAGAAGGCCUUCGGGUUGUAAAGCACUUUCAGCGGGGAGGAAGGCGRURAGGUUAAUAACCUUGUCGAUUGACGUUACCCGCAGAAGAAGCACCGGCUAACUCCGUGCCAGCAGCCGCGGUAAUACGGAGGGUGCAAGCGUUAAUCGGAAUUACUGGGCGUAAAGCGCACGCAGGCGGUCUGUCAAGUCGGAUGUGAAAUCCCCGGGCUCAACCUGGGAACUGCAUUCGAAACUGGCAGGCUAGAGUCUUGUAGAGGGGGGUAGAAUUCCAGGUGUAGCGGUGAAAUGCGUAGAGAUCUGGAGGAAUACCGGUGGCGAAGGCGGCCCCCUGGACAAAGACUGACGCUCAGGUGCGAAAGCGUGGGAGCAAACAGGAUUAGAUACCCUGGUAGUCCACGCCGUAAACGAUGUCGAUUUGGAGGUUGUGCCCUUGAGGCGUGGCUUCCGGAGCUAACGCGUUAAAUCGACCGCCUGGGGAGUACGGCCGCAAGGUUAAAACUCAA